GGUGGCCUAGUGGUUAGAGCGUCCGCCUCAAAUGCAGGAGGUCGUGGUUUCAAACCCCGGUUGAUUCA